GGUUGAUCCUGCCAGUAGUCAUAUGCUUGUCUUAAAGAUUAAGCCAUGCAUAUCUAAGUAUAAGCAUUUAUACGGCGAAACUGCGAAUGGCUCAUUAAAUCAGUUAUAGUUCAUUUGAUAAUACCUAAAAACUACUUGGAUAACCGUAGUAAUUCUAGAGCUAAUACAUGCGAAAAACCCCGACUUUUGGGAAGGGGUGCAUUUGUUAGAUACAAAACCAAUGCGGCGGGGCAACUCGUCGGAAACCUUUGGUGAUUCAUGACAACUUUGCGAAUCGCAUGGCCUUUGAGCCG
rnacentral:rRNA from 1 species